CAUUAAUAGCUAACAUUCAAUAUACGUUAAAGACUUUUACCAGGGCUUUAUGUGUGUUGGUUUACUUAAUUCUCUUAACAGCACAACAUAUGAAAAAAACAGGCCAGACAAAUCCUUGCCCAAGGCCAUACUAGUAAAUGGCAAAGCCAAGUUUCAAACCAAAGCAGGUUGAAUCCAGAAUCUGUGCUUUUAACCACUAACUUGUAUCACCUUUCCAAAGGAGAGCAAACACAGUGUGAACUAUAUGCCGAGUGCUGUUCUAAGUGCCUUACCCAUGCACACCCUCUUAAUUCUCAUAAUGCUGAUGUAGGCAUUACUGUCCCCAUUUCACAGCUGAAGAAACUGAGGCACAGGCCAGUAAAAAGUUUAAGAUAAUGAUUGAAGUUGAGGGUGUGCUUAAAGGCAAGAUUUUAAAACAAAGUCUGUUUAAAGAAUACUCAGCAGCGUCAGAAUUGAGUCCUGAACUCCUUUCUCCUUUUUCCUUUGCUUUGGGGUUUUCUUACUUCCAUAGAUGCCGCUGCCUGCAGGCUGUCCCCGAGCCACAUUGCCUCUCUUUGGUGGUUUUGGUCUAGGUAUGGGGAUUAGUUUCUUCUUUUGAUGCUUCCUAUCAUGGCUGGGGUUUUUGAAACCCAUGCCCUUAAAUAGAACAAGAGACGCUAACUUCCUCUGCCGAGCACUACAUGCUGAGAUGGUGCUGCUUUUGCACCAAGAUUCUGGGGCAACUUCACAGAAGCCUACCUUCUUCCUAGCUCCAGCCUGCCCUCCGUAGUUACCACCAGUUUUCCCCUUUCCCUCCACAGCCAAGAUGGCUUUGGGUCCCCUCCCCAAAUGUUUGUCCCCCCCCCCCCAUUGGUAAUUGACAAAAUGAACGGUCCCACUCUGCCAGUGAGAACGCGUGCUUUCUUACAGCAAUGGAUGUUUAGGUGGUUGGUCAGGAGAUAAUGUGAGCCUGUGUUGGGGUGGGGGGAAGGGAGUCUGUUUCAUCAGAGGCUAUAGACCCCAAGGAGAUAGCUUAGUAGUUACUUCACUUAAUUAGCAGAAAAUGAGGCCCAGUGGUUUGGAUUAUUCUACCCACAUCCAGAUGCUGUAAGAAACCUCAGUCCAUACGAAUGACCGCUCAGCAUUCCCAUAUUCCCCCUCCCAGAACAUAUGAUCUAUUUCUUACCAAUCUAACUCAUCCUAGCUAGCGAUCUGCUAACAAAAGCAAUCUUUCCUCAAAUCAAAGUUUCUUCACCCUUUGUUUGUUUUUGGUGUUGCUUAAGAAAUAGCACUUCAAAUGCCCUCAGCCUUAAAAGAAAGCAGGCGGAUGUGGAAAGUAGUCUGAACCACUGUUGUCUCUGCACUGACACUUCCCGCGUUUUAAUAAGCUGGCACUCCACCACACUCUGGUAGCAUAAGUGAGCAGAAUUUCCAUUUUUACGAAAGAUCUACAGUUGAUUUUCUAAAAAGGAACAAAAUAAUAACCAGAUGGUAGUUGAUAGGCCAACUUUAAAGGCAAGUGUUUGUUUUGAUCUCUUUUCCAAGGGAAAGAAAGUUUGGAUAAUUAGUAGAAGAAUAAGAAAAAAAAAGAAAGAGGAGAAUAAGUGCCUAAGAUAAUGUAUAAAGAGAAACGUGAGGAGGAAUGGAUAGUGGAAAACAAGGGAAAAAAUCGUCACUUCUAGAAAAAGAGAAAACGAGAGGAAAAAAUUUAACUGCAGAUUUUUCACCAAAUGGUUGCCUAGACGACUUAAUGAGGAGUAGUUCCGUCUCUACUGAAUAGUUGCUGAAACACACCCUGAAUUUAGAGUCUUUUGGCUCCACGACUAUCAACUGGAAAACCAUCAUGUUUCAGGCAUAUUAGUUAUGAGUGCCAUAUUUUCUAUACUAUGCUUUUCUCCUAACAAUAGAAGUGGUUGGUUGCAAUCAAUUUGGUGUGUAAUAGAAGGAUAGGAAGAUUGAAACACAAGCAUGAUGAGAGUUUUGGAGUCAGAUUAGCCUAGGAUGGCAUAUUAAUAUGUGUAACAUCGAGUAACAAACUGAGGAAAAAGUAAAUUAGGAAGCAGCUCAAAGCCCAUUUGGCAAUGUAAGAUCAUCUUUACAUAUUGCCAAGGUUGCUGUUGAGAAGCAUUUUUCCAUGUAAAGAGUUUGGUACACUUGAGGCUACUUAGUGUAGAGACAAAAAAUGUCACUUUUUACAAGAGAGUUUUUUUUGUUUUUAAUCUUCCAUUAACAUCUGGCUCCUAUGGAUUCUGUUAUCACUGUUUUCUGUUUAAUUAAAUAAUUAUAAAAAAUAAAAAGUGUUUUUAAAUGCUUUACUGCUCCUAUUUGAAUUUGUCUUUUCUACAGUUUACUGUAUUUUCCAGAAAAUGUUAAUAUUACAUUGUUAUAAAUAAACCCAUCUCUACAAAA